GAAGUCAAGUCAUCGGUCCUCAGCUUUUACAAUCAACUGAUGGAGACAGUGACGAUUAUAAUACCCAGGGCAGGGAAGAUGAUCUAUAAGGCUAUUAAGGCUAUCAUUGAUAGCUUCAGGACGUUCAACAAAGACCCCAAACAGGCAAUUUCUACUGUCGCUGGCAACGUUAUCACCAUAGGCCUAGAAGUAAAGAAUCUGGUUCACGUCAUUUACAAGACCAAAACUGCAAUAUAUACAACCCU